rnacentral:rRNA from 1 species
GGCUCGGAGGGAUCAUUG